rnacentral:rRNA from 1 species
CCUGACGGGGCCCGAGUUGUAAUCUGUAGAGGGUGCUCCGGCGUCGGCCCUGGGCCAAGUCCCCUGGAACGGGGCGUCCUAGAGGGUGAGAAUCCCGUACCCACCCAGGCGUCCUUCGCCUUGUGAAGCCCCUUCGAAGAGUCGAGUUGUUUGGGAAUGCAGCUCCAAGCGGGAGGUAAAUUCCUUCUAAAGCUAAAUACCGGCCAGAGACCGAUAGCGCACAAGUAGAGUGAUCGAAAGAUGAAAAGCACUUUGGAAAGAGAGUUAAAAAGCACGUGAAAUUGUUGAAAGGGAAGCUCUUGCCGCCAGACUUGCCGCGGUGGCUCAGCCGCUCCCCCCGGGGACGGUGCACUCCUCCGCCGGCAGGCCAGCGUCGGUUCAGGCGGCCGGAUAAAGGCCCCGGGAAUGUAGCAUCCUCCGGGGUGUGUUAUAGCCCGGGGUGCAAUGCGGUCAGCCUGGUCCGAGGGAUGCGUUCGCGAGGACGCUGGCGUAAUGGUCGCAAGCGACCCGUCUUGAAACACGGACCAAGGAGUCUAACAUCUGUGCGAGUGUUUGGGUGUCAAGCCCACGCGCGUAAUGAAAGUGAACGGAGGUGGGAACCCCCUCGAGGGGCGCACCAUCGACCGAUCCUGAAGUCUUCGGAUGGAUUUGAGUAAGAGCAUAGCUGUUGGGACCCGAAAGAUGGUGAACUAUUCCCGGAUAGGGUGAAGCCAGAGGAAACUCUGGUGGAGGCUCGCAGCGGUUCUGACGUGCAAAUCGAUCGUCAAAUCUAGGAAUAGGGGCGAAAGACUAAUCGAACC